UCAAAGACAACGCUGCAGUACACAAGCUACAAGCUUGAAGUCACGCCGUUGAUGGUUUAAGUUAAGAAAUGACAAGAGUAAGGCAAGCCAGUUACAGAAAUUUCAGCAUCUGCUAAUAUUGUUCACUUCAAGCUGAAAUCAAAACGCAGCACCCCAAACAAACCCCGGAGUCUGAAUGCUGGUUCUCCUUUUAAGGCCUAUCAAAUCCGUGGCCUCAUCUCUGUUCAUUCUCUUUAUUUCUGGUAGUGGAGAUGGUGAUAUAGUGGCUGCCAACAGUAUCCUUAAGAAUCUGCAAUAGCAUAACCUACUCCACAAGCUCAGCGAGUUCCAUGCAACGCAAGUCCAGAGGAGCCACCAGAACCGAGUGGAAGUUUAUCUGACCAAAGCUAACUGAAGAAGAGAAUGACGACCACAUUUCUAACAAUGAAAGGGGAUAGUAGGAAGACAAACAGUGGAAGGCAUGUAGGUAAGUUCCCCCAAUUAAGUAACCCUAAAUCAGUACCUGAGGACUUCUCUUUCAUUUCAGCAUUUUAGGAUACUGAUCCGGGGUUUCCCUAUUUCAUAGGGAUUUUUGUGUCUUUCUAAGAUUGAAAAUGCAUUUUGGUCGUUCUCCAUUCAUUUUUAUUUCAUCUUCAUCCAACCAAUCAUACAGAAAGCAAAUGUUACGUUCCAUUGUAUAUCAUACAAAGCAUGGUGACAAAAUUCCUUUAUAUAUAUAUAUUUACUUUCGUCGAAAGUUAACAUUUUUAUUUGUUGAAAAAGUAGACAAAUGCAUUGCGUUUCAUUUGCUUGAAA